CAGCCGCCGCGGCAAUACGUAGGUGGCAAGCGUUGUCCGGAAUUAUUGGGCGUAAAGGGCUCGCAGGCGGUUUCUUAAGUCUGAUGUGAAAGCCCCCGGCUCAACCGAGGAGGGUCAUUGGAAACUGGGAAACUUGAGUGCAGAAGAGGAGAGUGGAAUUCCACGUGUAGCGGUGAAAUGCGUAGAGAUGUGGAGGAACACCAGUGGCGAAGGCGACUCUCUGGUCUGUAACUGACGCUGAGGAGCGAAAGCGUGGGGAGCGAACAGGAUUAGAUACCCCUGUAGUCCCUGUCUCUUAUAC
rnacentral:rRNA from 1 species